rnacentral:rRNA from 1 species
UACGUAGGGGGCAAGCGUGUCCGGAAUCACUGGGCGUAAAGCGCGCGCAGGCGGUCUCUCACGCCGGGGUGAAAGCCCAGAGCUCAACUCUGGGAUUGCCUGGAUGACGGGGAGACUUGAGGAUCGGAGAGGCAAGGGGAAUCCACGUGUAGCGGUGAAAUGCGUAGAGAUGUGGAGGACACCUGUGGCGAAGGCGGCUACCUGGACCAGCACUGACACUGAGGCACGAAAGCCUGGGG